CUGCUGACCAGCAUCUGGCCUCCUAACCUUCUCUGUCAGAUACCACCAAGCUGAUCCAGGCAAACCCUCUUCUUGGCCUGAGGGCAGGACAGAGCUCAGGGCUUCACCCUCUCACAACCUAACAGUGUUGCUGGCUGAGUCUCACCUGGUUUCUCCAUCCCUGUUGAUGCUCCCUCAGAUAUUCUCAAUAUUCUCAUCCCUGGCAGCUGCAUUUAGCCAUCAUCCAUCUCACUCUCCCUGCCAAGGGCAGUGCAUGCUGAGAAAUUCUUGGGGGAUUGACUAUGCUCCCAAAAAGAACUUCGUGUUAUACUUGUGUGUCUCUGCUGGAUUCCACAUCUGCAACUUUCUGGAACGAAAACCGAUCAAGGAAGGAAGGGUGACUUCAGACCUACUGGGUUUAACAGUCUUGGCUCCCUUCUUGGAGUAAAACAAGCUGCUUUGUUGUCAGUGUGGUCACAAACUACUGGAAUACCCUGGAAUACUUUGAUGGCAAGAGCAAUUACCACCAUGCCAGCAGUAUAUGCGUUCCUUCAUGUACAUUGUCUCGGAGGGAAAUGAAGGCCAAGGUGGUAAGGUGACUCUUACAGAGUCCCAUGGCUCCUAGAUGGGAAUCAAAGUCAGUCACCCAAACACAUUUCUGCUCCAGACUCUUUAAGUAUCAAAAGAAGGCAAUUGAUAAGACCCCAUCACUCAAAAGUUCUUUCCCCUUGUAGUCAGC
rnacentral:lncRNA from 1 species